GAGGGUAUAGCUCACUGGUAGAGUGAGUGCUUAGCAUGCAUGAGGUCCUGGGUUCAAUCCCCAGUACCGCUA
rnacentral:tRNA from 1 species